rnacentral:rRNA from 1 species
AUGAACGCUGGCGGCGUGCCUAAUACAUGCAAGUCGAGCGAACAGACGCGGAGCUUUCUCCUCUGACGUUAUCGCCGGACGGUUGAUUAACCCGUGGAUGACCUCCCUAUAAGACUGGGAUAACUUCGGGAAACCGGAGCUAUUCCCGGUUAAUAUAUUUACUCGCAUGUUUCAAUAGUGAAAUUCGGUUUUUCUGUCACUUAUAGAUGGAUCCUCGCCUCUUUAGAUGGUUGGUAAGUUAACGGCUUAGCAAGGCAACGAUGCGUAGCCGACCUGAGAGGGGGAUAGGCCACACUGGAACGGAGACAGGGACAAGAGUACUAAGGGAGGGAGCAGAAGGGAAUGUGACGCAAUGGGCGAAAGCAUGACGGAGCAACGCCGAGUGAGUGAUGAAGGUGUUCGGAUCGUAAAAAUCUGUUAUUAGGGAAGAACAAAUGUGUAAGUAAAUAUGCACGGAUUGACGGUAACUAAUCAGAAAGCCACGGCUAACUACGUG